rnacentral:rRNA from 1 species
AACGAACGCUGGCGGCAUGCCUAACACAUGCAAGUCGAACGAGACCUUCGGGUCUAGUUGCGCACGGGUGCGUAACGCGUGGGAACCUGCCCUUAGGUUCGGAAUAACUCCCCGAAAGGGGUGCUAAUACCGGAUAAUGUCUUCGGACCAAAGAUUUAUCGCCUUUGGAUGGGCCCGCGUUGGAUUAGCUAGUUGGUAGGGUAAAAGCCUACCAAGGCGACGAUCCAUAGCUGGUCUGAGAGGAUGAUCAGCCACACUGGGACUGAGACACGGCCCAGACUCCUACGGGAGGCAGCAGUGGGGAAUAUUGGACAAUGGGCGAAAGCCUGAUCCAGCAAUGCCGCGUGAGUGAUGAAGGCCUUAGGGUUGUAAAGCUCUUUUAGCCGGGAUGAUAAUGACAGUACCGGGAGAAUAAGCUCCGGCUAACUACGUG